rnacentral:rRNA from 1 species
GGCAGCCUAUAAUGCAGUCGAACGCUUCUUUUUCCACCGGAGCUUGCUCCACCGGAAAAAGAGGAGUGGCGAACGGGUGAGUAACACGUGGGUAACCUGCCCAUCAGAAGGGGAUAACACUUGGAAACAGGUGCUAAUACCGUAUAACAAUCAAAACCGCAUGGUUUUGAUUUGAAAGGCGCUUUCGGGUGUCGCUGAUGGAUGGACCCGCGGUGCAUUAGCUAGUUGGUGAGGUAACGGCUCACCAAGGCCACGAUGCAUAGCCGACCUGAGAGGGUGAUCGGCCACAUUGGGACUGAGACACGGCCCAAACUCCUACGGGAGGCAGCAGUAGGGAAUCUUCGGCAAUGGACGAAAGUCUGACCGAGCAACGCCGCGUGAGUGAAGAAGGUUUUCGGAUCGUAAAACUCUGUUGUUAGAGAAGAACAAGGAUGAGAGUAACUGUUCAUCCCUUGACGGUAUCUAACCAGAAAGCCACGGCUAACUACGUGCCAGCAGCCGCGGUAAUACGUAGGUGGCAAGCGUUGUCCGGAUUUAUUGGGCGUAAAGCGAGCGCAGGCGGUUUCUUAAGUCUGAUGUGAAAGCCCCCGGCUCAACCGGGGAGGGUCAUUGGAAACUGGGAGACUUGAGUGCAGAAGAGGAGAGUGGAAUUCCAUGUGUAGCGGUGAAAUGCGUAGAUAUAUGGAGGAACACCAGUGGCGAAGGCGGCUCUCUGGUCUGUAACUGACGCUGAGGCUCGAAAGCGUGGGGAGCAAACAGGAUUAGAUACCCUGGUAGUCCACGCCGUAAACGAUGAGUGCUAAGUGUUGGAGGGUUUCCGCCCUUCAGUGCUGCAGCUAACGCAUUAAGCACUCCGCCUGGGGAGUACGACCGCAAGGUUGAAACUCAAAGGAAUUGACGGGGGCCCGCACAAGCGGUGGAGCAUGUGGUUUAAUUCGAAGCAACGCGAAGAACCUUACCAGGUCUUGACAUCCUUUGACCACUCUAGAGAUAGAGCUUCCCCUUCGGGGGCAAAGUGACAGGUGGUGCAUGGUUGUCGUCAGCUCGUGUCGUGAGAUGUUGGGUUAAGUCCCGCAACGAGCGCAACCCUUAUUGUUAGUUGCCAUCAUUCAGUUGGGCACU